UUGGACCUGAUAUCAAGCAAGAUUACCCGCUGAACUUAAGCAUAUCAUAAGCGGAGGAAAAGAAACUAACAAGGAUUCCCCUAGUAACGGCGAGUGACAGCGGGAGAGCUCAAGCUUAUAAUCUCC
rnacentral:rRNA from 1 species